ensembl:lncRNA
GUUAAAAUUGCUUAUUUCUCUUGAUUUAAACAUUCUUCGAAACAUUUGGGAUAAUCACUGACUCGUACAUGUUCUGAAGAUUUGUGCUACCCGCUUAGAUUGUACUACCUCCUAUUAAAAAGCUCUCCACAGGUGAUCUUGAGCUCCAUGUGAUCCAGAACUGAUGGGCUUUUGUCAGCCUCGAUGCUAAGGGCUUUUCUGGUCUGCCUAAAGAAGCUUUACAACUCAUCAUAACUGUGAUAACCAGCAGAGUGGCUCUCUGCUGGCCUGGAAGUUGUGAGGCAAGAUUCUGGAUGGGUCCUUUGGAUGAGAUAUAUGGAGUCUGCACAGAGAAUGAUACAGAGCCUGCAGCAGGUUGAAUAUUUGGAAGUAAAAAACAAACUGAGGGGACAAAUAGAACUCCAACAGCUAAUGAAGAAGAAAGUUGCACUAGAAAUGGUGGCUGCACAAGGAACUUCAGAGAUCUUCUCUAGGGGCAGCGUUUUGCCCAAGAAAAUUCUCUGGCGUGGAGGGUGUGCAGGGGCUGAUGAGUGCUGUACAUGAGGUGCAGGUCUCCACAGGUGAUCUUGAGCUCCAUGUGAUCCAGAACUGAUGGAUUAUUUUCAGCCUUCGCUGCUCAGGACUUUUUUAGCCUGCUCAAAGCAGCUUUCCAACUCAUCAUGACAGUGAUGUCCAGCAAAGUGGCUAUCUGCCAGGCUGGAGGUUGUGAGUCGAGAUUCCAGAUGGGUCCUUUGGAGGAGCUGUGGCCCCUUUGAGCCCAGAUGUACCAUGUAGGACAGGGCAGGUGUUCUGGUGGUGAUACGCACCAGGUGGCGCUCUCCUUCCAGUGUUAGAGAGAUGUCACACCGCUUGGAUGCAGGAAAGGCCUCCAGGGCUCGGAUUGAAAAGUCAAGAUUGGUUUUCAGGUGCGAGUUCAGCAAUCCUUCCUGACGGAUUUUCCAUUUCACAGAGAGAAGGCAGUCCAGAUCAAGAGAGGGUAGAGUGAAAUAUCUCCUUUUGGGAAGAAAUAAACAAAUGAGCAUUGAUUGUAUGGAAAAUAUAUGGUAACCUUAGAAAGAAUAAAUAAGUUUGGACAAACUUUUUUUUGUCCUAAAUUUUAAUGAUUUUAAUAAUGAACUUUCUCAUAUCAAAUUAUUUUUCAUUUUGUAACAGUAAAUCUCAAAGAGAUAACAUACAUACAGGAUUCAGAGUUACUUCACAAGAAGCCUGUUUAGCGAAACAAAACAUAUUGGCCCAGUUAACAACCAGAAAUACAGGUGAUCUGGGUUAAAAUGCAAAACAUCAACAAAAACUCUACUGGAUCGCAUGAUAGACAU